CUCACACUGGAAGGCCACCUCCAGUUCACCCAGCUGCAAAAUGCAUACCUGAACCAUCAAGGAGGAAGAAUUAUUCCCAGAAUCCCAGAAUGUUUGAAGCAUCCCUUCAAAUUCUGAAGAUCCAUGUCGUUCUACUGGAGCAUUUCAGGCUCAGGACCAACGUUCUUUUUACAUUUAGUGCAGUGCAGGAGGCCAGCAACUCAGACCAGCCUGUAGAAGUGGGGCUUUGUAACAAUAUGAUGUAAUUCAACACCACCUAUCUCCAUCUCAAAGCAGUACAAAUUCAUCAGACU